rnacentral:rRNA from 1 species
GACGAACGCUGGCGGCGUGCUUAACACAUGCAAGUCGAACGGAAAGGCCCUGCUUUUGUGGGGUGCUCGAGUGGCGAACGGGUGAGUAACACGUGAGUAACCUGCCCUUGACUUUGGGAUAACUUCAGGAAACUGGGGCUAAUACCGGAUAGGAGCUCCUGCUGCAUGGUGGGGGUUGGAAAGUUUCGGCGGUUGGGGAUGGACUCGCGGCUUAUCAGCUUGUUGGUGGGGUAGUGGUUUACCAAGUCUUUGACGGGUAGCCGGCCUGGGAGGGGGACCGGGCACAAGGGGACUGCGAGAGGGCCCAGACGCCAACGGUAGGCAGCAGGCGGGAAUAUGGCACAAUGGGGGGAAGUCUGAGGCAGCAACGUCGCGAGCGGGAUGACCGCCUUCGGGUUGUAAACAGAUUUCGACUGUGACGAAGCGUGAGUGACGGUAAUGAGUAAAGAAGCACCGGCUAACUACGUG